rnacentral:rRNA from 1 species
AGAGCUUGAUCCUGGCUCAGAACGAACGCUGGCGGCGCGUUUUAAGCAUGCAAGUCGAGCGGGUAGGUUAAGGUGCUUGCACUUUAACUGAAAGCGGCGAACGGGUGAGUAACGCGUAGAUGAUCUGCCCUUCAGUUGGGGAUAGCUCAUGGAAACAUGGGGUAAUACCGAAUACACUCUUUUUACUUUGGAGAUUAGAGGAAAGGCCCGUUUGGGUCGCUGAGGGAUGAGUCUGCGUCUGAUUAGCUUGUUGGUGGGGUAAUAGCCUACCAAGGCGACGAUCAGUAGCCGGCCUGAGAGGGUGACCGGCCACACUGGAACUGAGACACGGUCCAGACUCCUACGGGAGGCAGCAGCUAAGAAUCUUCCGCAAUGGGCGCAAGCCUGACGGAGCGACGCCGCGUGGGCGAAGAAUGCCGAGAGGUUGUAAAGCCCUUUUCUUACUGAAGAAUAAGGUUUAUAGGAAAUGAUAGAUCGAUGACGUUAGGUGAGGAAUAAGCUCCGGCCAAUUACGUGCCAGCAGCCGCGGUAACACGUAAGGAGCGAGCGUUGUUCGGAAUUAUUGGGCGUAAAGGGCUUGUAGGCGGCCAAGUAAGUCUGGAGUGAAAGACCGCAGCUUAACUGCGGGAGCGCUUCGGAAACUGCUUAGCUUGAAUCAGUGAGGGGAUACUGGAAUUCCUGGUGUAGGGGUGAAAUCUGUUGAGAUCAGGAAGAACACCUGAGGCGAAGGCGAGUAUCUGGCGCAUGAUUGACGCUGAUGAGCGAAAGCGUAGGGAGCGAACAGGAUUAGAUACCCUGGUAGUCUACGCUGUAAACGAUGUGCACUUGGUGGUGGAUAAUUAACUUUCGCUGCCGUAGCUAACGUGUUAAGUGCACCGCCUGGGGAGUAUGCCGGCAACGGUGAAACUCAAAGGAAUUGACGGGGGCCCGCACAAGCGGUGGAGCAUGUGGUUUAAUUCGAUUAUACGCGAGAAACCUUACCAGGGCUUGACAUAUUUAGGAUCGCUGUAGAGAUACAGUUUUUACUUUUGUAACCUUUUUACAGGUGCUGCAUGGUUGUCGUCAGCUCGUGCCGAGAGGUGUUGGGUUAAGUCCCGCAACGAGCGCAACCCUUGUCGUAUGUUACCAUCAUUAAGUUGGGGACUCAUGCGAGACUGCCGGUGACAAACCGGAGGAAGGUGAGGAUGACGUCAAAUCAGCAUGGCCCUUAUGUCCUGGGCUACACACGUGCUACAAUGGCAAGUACAAUGCGCUGCGAAACUGCGAAGUGGAGCGAAACGCAAAAAGCUUGUCUCAGUUCGGAUUGGAGUCUGAAACUCGACUCCAUGAAGGUGGAAUCGCUAGUAAUCGCGUAACAGCUUGACGCGGUGAAUACGUUCCCGGGCCUUGUACACACCGCCCGUCACACCACCCGAGUUGGGGGUACCCGAAGUCGCUAGUCUAACCUUUUAGGAGGACGGUGCCGAAGGUAUGCCUGGUAAGGGGGGUGAAGUCGGAACAAGGUA